AUCCAAAGAUACAUCGGCUGAAAGA
rnacentral:piRNA from 1 species